rnacentral:tRNA from 1 species
GCCCCUAUAGCCCAAUUGGCAGAGGCAGCGGACUUAAAAUCCGUCCAGUCUGGGUUCGAGUCCCAGUGGGGGCA